UCUGAUAUGGUGUAACGGCCAACAUUGCCGCCUUUCACACGGCAGCUCUGGGCUCGAUUCCCGGUAUCAGAA
rnacentral:tRNA from 1 species